ACCCUCUGAAGAUGGCACCUGGAAAGUUUCCAAUACUCUACCAGUCUCAGUUACGGGAGGGAGAGUGAAGCAGAGGCCUACCCAUUCCAUUCCUGGCUUGGGCAGUGGCUAGCCAAUGGAAGGCAAUCUGCUGCAAGG